AAGGAACUCUUCAGGAACUCUUGGUCUUAUCAGGAACUUCAGGAACUUCUGUAACAUUUUCUCUUUCGAUUUUAAGACUGAAGGUGCAGGAGGUAAAAUAAAAUCCAGAAUGGACAUUUCAGGAAUAACGCGCUUUUUCUCGUCAAGGAGAGACAAGGAAAUGGGCCUAGGGAUGAAGUGGCUUCAAAGUAGUUUCCCGAGUAGUGAAUCUCCAAACAGUAAGUAGAUCAUACCUGUCAACACUCCCAUUUUGGCCGGGAGUCUCCCGUUUUUCACACCCAUCUUCCGCCACCCUCCAGUUUUGUUAUUUAUAUCUGUAUAUUCCGCUUCCAUUUAACGCUCGCUCUCACAGUAUGUGUCCGCUCACUGGAGACGACAAGUCGUUUCAUCAACAGGUAGAUGCAGUAGAGUCACAUUACAGUGCUGGAUCUGCAGAAGUAAUAUUUUCGCUGUUUUUAAACUUUGUGAGGUGACCUAUUAGUCAGAUAUGGUGAUCCAUACCCGAAAUGUGACCUCUGCAUUUAACCCAUCCAGAGAGUAGUGAACACACGCACAGCAAGUGGUGAACACACGUACACCCGGAGCAGUGGGCAGCUAUCACUGCAGCGCCCGGGGAGCAAGUAGGGGUCAGGUGCCUUGCUCAAGGGCACCUCAGUCGUUACCCGCCGGCCCUGAGAAUCAAACCGACAACCUUCUGGUCACGAGUCCGACUCUCUAACCAUUAGGUCACAACUGCCCCAGCCAGCCGUGGUUAGAUUCAGAUGCGUGCAUUUAAAGCUUUAUUUGAAAUGUAGAUGAUCCGUGUGUCUCGUCAAUAACAUAUCGUAAUUUAUGCAUUUUUAUUCUAAGAAUGUUUGCAUGAUUAUUACUGUAUAUUGUGAAAACAAUGUCUCUAUCUGUAACUUUUAAUUAUUUAUCAUUUUGAUGCCUUUUUGACCUUUGUCCUGUGGUAAACGUGUAGUAAACAGUUUUUUUUUGUGUGUAUUGAUUACUCAACUCAACUUUAUU